ensembl:lncRNA
GAGACAUCUAUCAGUUAGGAGGGAGACAUCUAUCAGUUAGGAGGGAGACAUCUAUCAGUUAGGAGGGAGACAUCUAUCAGUUAGGAGGGAGACAUCUAUCAGUUAGGAGGUAGACAUCUAUCAGUUAGGAGGGAGACAUCUAUCAGUUAGGAGGGAGACAUCUAUCAGUUAGGAGGUAGACAUCUAUCAGUUAGGAGGGAGACAUCUAUCAGUUAGGAGGGAGACAUCUAUCAGUUAGGAGGGAGACAUCUGUCAGUUAGGAGGGAGACAUCUAUCAGUUAGGAGGGAGACAUCUAUCAGUUAGGAGGUAGACAUCUAUCAGUUAGGAG